rnacentral:rRNA from 1 species
UACGUAGGGUGCAAGCGUUAAUCGGAAUUACUGGGCGUAAAGCGUGCGCAGGCGGUUUUGUAAGUCUGACGUGAAAGCCCCGGGCUCAACCUGGGAAUUGCGUUGGAGACUGCAAGGCUUGAAUCUGGCAGAGGGGGGUAGAAUUCCACGUGUAGCAGUGAAAUGCGUAGAGAUGUGGAGGAACACCGAUGGCGAAGGCAGCCCCCUGGGUCAAGAUUGACGCUCAUGCACGAAAGCAUGGGGAGCGAACAGG